CGUAGGGGCAAGCGUUGUCCGGAAUUAUUGGGCGUAAAGCGCGCGCAGGCGGUUAAUGAAGUUGGGUGUUUAAGCCCGGGGCUCAACCCCGGUUCGCAUCCAAAACUGGUUGACUUGAGUGUAGGAGAGGAAAGUGGAAUUCCACGUGUAGCGGUGAAAUGCGUAGAGAUGUGGAGGAACACCAGUGGCGAAGGCGACUUUCUGGCCUAUAACUGACGCUGAGGCGCGAAAGCGUGGGAGCAAACAGGAUU
rnacentral:rRNA from 1 species